GACGAACGCUGGCGGCGUGCUUAACACAUGCAAGUCGAACGAAGUGGCGAACGGGUGAGUAACGCGUAAUCAACCUGCCCUUCAGAGGGGGACAACAGUUGGAAACGACUCCUAAUACCGCAUACUGAAGGAGGGGAUUGCGUCUGAUUAGCUAGUUGGGGGGGUAACGGCCCACCAAGGCGAUGAUCAGUCGCCGGGCUGAGAGGGUGGACGGCCAAAAUGGGAACGGGACACGGCCCAAGAUCCUACGGGAGGGAGCAGGGGGGAAUCUUCCGAAAUGGACGAAAGGCCGACGGAGCAAAGCCGGGGGAGUGAUGACGGCCUUCGGGUUGUAAAGCUCUGUUAAUCGGGACGCGGUACCGGAAGAGAAAGCCACGGCUAACUACGUGCCAGCAGCCGCGGUAAUUC
rnacentral:rRNA from 1 species